rnacentral:rRNA from 1 species
CCUACGGGGGGCAGCAGUGGGGAAUAUUGGACAAUGGGGGGAACCCUGAUCCAGCCAUGCCGCGUGUGUGAAGAAGGCCCUCGGGUUGUAAAGCACUUUCAGUGAGGAAGAACGCCUGGUGGUUAAUACCCAUCAGGAAAGACAUCACUCACAGAAGAAGCACCGGCUAACUCCGUGCCAGCAGCCGCGGUAAUACGGAAGGUGCGAGCGUUAAUCGGAAUUACUGGGCGUAAAGCGCGCGUAGGUGGCUUGAUAAGCCGGUUGUGAAAGCCCCGGGCUCAACCUGGGAACGGCAUCCGGAACUGUCAAGCUAGAGUGCAGGAGAGGAAGGUAGAAUUCCCGGUGUAGCGGUGAAAUGCGUAGAGAUCGGGAGGAAUACCAGUGGCGAAGGCGGCCUUCUGGACUGACACUGACACUGAGGUGCGAAAGCGUGGGUAGCAAACAGGAUUAGAUACCCCUGUAGUC